AUGAUUUAAGAUGAGAAACCCCUCAUUUUCAGCAAUCAAAAACGUGAUGAUCAUCUUCUUCAUGAAAGGAAAAUUUCGAAUCCCAUAACUUUUUCGUUUCUCGUCGGAAUUGAGCGAUUCUUGUGGCCACGGAACAAGAAAAUGAUUAUCUACAGAUCUAUAGCUUCAAUUUGAGGAGCUAUGAUUAUGGAAUUUUGAUGGUUGUUCAUGGAGGAAUUCAUUCAGCCAAAGGGUUAUACCAUCAAACAAAGGAAUAGCAUGAUAUGAUUUGGAAAGUCAAGCUUCCGAAGUUUUAAAUUCUCGGAAGUCAUUUUCAGAAGAAGUUAAAGAAGGUUUUCAUUCUAGCGGUCCGCAGUAGUCUAGAUGUUUUUGUCUAUGUAUUUAUCUAGCGCAUUUUAACUCUGAUAUUUUUGUAAAAUGGGGUCACAUGUAUUUUGAUAUAUGAAAGAUGAUUUGAUUUGCGAAAAA